rnacentral:rRNA from 1 species
UACAGAGGUCUCAAGCGUUGUUCGGAUUCAUUGGGCGUAAAGGGUGCGUAGGCGGCGCGGUAAGUCGGGUGUGAAAUCUCGGAGCUUAACUCCGAAACUGCAUUCGAUACUGCCGUGCUUGAGGACUGGAGAGGAGACUGGAAUUUACGGUGUAGCGGUGAAAUGCGUAGAUAUCGUAAGGAAGACCAGUGGCGAAGGCGGGUCUCUGGACAGUUCCUGACGCUGAGGCACGAAAGGCCCAGGGGGAGCAAAACGGGGAUU